GGAUUGAUCCUGGCUCAGAUUGAACGCUGGCGGCAGGCUUAACACAUGCAAGUCGAGCGGUAACAGAAAGUAGCUUGCUACUUUGCUGACGAGCGGCGGACGGGUGAGUAAUGCUUGGGAACAUGCCUUGAGGUGGGGGACAACAGUUGGAAACGACUGCUAAUACCGCAUAAUGUCUACGGACCAAAGGGGGCUUCGGCUCUCGCCUUUAGAUUGGCCCAAGUGGGAUUAGCUAGUUGGUGAGGUAAUGGCUCACCAAGGCGACGAUCCCUAGCUGGUUUGAGAGGAUGAUCAGCCACAGCUCACCAAGGCGACGAUCCCUAGCUGGUUUGAGAGGAUGAUCAGCCACA
rnacentral:rRNA from 1 species